UCCAGACUCCUACGGGAGGCAGCAGUGAGGAAUAUUGGUCAAUGGGCGCGAGCCUGAACCAGCCAAGUCGCGUGAGGGAAGACGGUCCUAUGGAUUGUAAACCUCUUUUGUCGGGGAACAAAGGCGCCCACGGGGGGGCGGAUGAGUGUACCCGAAGAAAAAGCAUCGGCUAACUCCGUGCCAGCAGCCGCGGUAAUACGGAGGAUGCGAGCGUUAUCCGGAUUUAUUGGGUUUAAAGGGUGCGUAGGCGGACAGUCAAGUCAGCGGUAAAAAUGCGGUGCUCAACGCCGUACAGCCGUUGAAACUGCAUCCCUUGAGUGCGCGAGAAGUAUGCGGAAUGCGUGGUGUAGCGGUGAAAUGCAUAGAUAUCACGCAGAACUCCGAUUGCGAAGGCAGCAUACCGGCGCGCAACUGACGCUCAUGCACGAAAGCGUGGGUAUCGAACAGGAUUAGAUCCCCCAGUA
rnacentral:rRNA from 1 species